rnacentral:siRNA from 1 species
CUAUGAAUUUGGAUGGGCUAUCAG